CGGCUCUACAACAUCACACCCCUGGUUCUCCGCCUUUUUCUUCUUGAACAUUCGUCAGCAGCCAACUGUGACCUUUUUUUUAUCUUGCUUGUCACUCGGGUGGUACGCCAGCACUUUUCCCAAGAGUGACUCACAGGGAUCCGCUUCUGGACAAGAUAAGAGCACAAGGUGCGUUGCUGACCUUCUGCUAGGGACAACAUCCCCUUUCUCACCUUCGCUGAGGCCGCAGCUCCCCGACACAUAUACGACUGGGGAGCUGAAGUGUAACUCGCACAUGUAUUUUGUGUCGCCAGUACCGACACGCGCUCAUAUAUUACAGAGAGAAGCAAUUACGCGAGGCUCCGUCAUGCAAGGGAAUCCGCAUACGAAGGCUGCUGCCGCGGCAUCGGCCGCCUCAGUACCAGCUGGCUCACACGACGCGAGCUGCUCAAAUCUUAGUGACUACCUCAACGAGGACAGUGUCGUUGGUGAUCUGGAGACGUACGACGUUGGGGAAUACCACCUUACUACCUGCCCUAUAUGCUUGGAGCACUUCACCCUAGACAACCCUGCCAUUCUCCUCAAGUGCGAGCAUGGGUUUCACCUGCAGUGCUUGGAGUCGUGGCGACAACGGUCUUCGAUGUGCCCCAUGUGCUUCGCGCCUGUGGUGGGCGACGAAGGGCGUCUGAUGAGCAGCUGCGAUGUCCGUAGACGCCGUCGCAUGCAACUAAAGCCACCUUCAGCACCUCACCACGCACCGGAGCGCAAUGCACUCAUUACACCCACAGCCGCUCAGCAGACACCGCAGUCUAACUGCGAGGUGGAGCACGCAUCUGAGCAGGAUGAGGAAAUCGAGGUGAUUGAGGUGACUUCCCGAAAGGGCAGCGUGCACUGGGUGUGGUCGUGGCUGCGUGAGUGCUGUGCCUUCUAGCGCCUCUCUUAUAUCCAUCACGUCUUCAUCAACCGUGGCUUUGUUGUUGCCAUGGCACGCGGGAUGACAGGAGAAGCGGGUGCACGGUAAAGGAGGCGAUCUCCUAUGGCAUGUCUGUGUAGCUCAGCCGCUGUUUUUUGUUUUCCCCCUUUUCUUUCCUUCUGAUUCAUGCGUUCCCCCUUUUGAUUGACGCCAGGAAUGAAUAUGGAUAUGGUUGUCGAUGUUGUCGCUGCACCCUUCUGUUUUUCGAAUAUUGAGCAUUUUCUCUUUAGUUUGCUGAGCUGAGCAGCAGCGGCUGUCUGCGCGCAAGUGCAGUGCCGCCUAUGCAUAUGCUUGUGUGCGAGAUGCUCGAUUUCCACGUGUUGCAGGCUCUUGUCAGCGUGCUCGCUGCGCUGUUCACUUUUCUUGUUCCCCCUUUUCGAUGAUCAUCUCUCGCUUUCGUCUGCCCUUUGUUCUCCCUCUUGGUAUGUGCAUCUCGAACACGCGUGCAAUCGGUGAAGGUGUGUGUGUGUGUGGGGGGGCUUUGCAGGAUCAUCGGCAGCCUCAGUCUCUCUCUGUUGGCAUUUUGCUUCACCUCACGGCUACGCCGUUCUUCAGCCUCCGCUCCCCUUGAGACAGACAAGGAGGCAUGAGCACCGCUGCUCUAGCAAUCUCACCCAAACCCAGGUGGCUGUCACACGCGAAUCUGGGCCUGUGCGUGGCUGCUACGAGUCGAUCUCUUCAUUUUAGUGCUCUCCUUUCCAAAGUGCCACUGCUGUUGUUUUGUCUUAUCGCUGUUUGGCUGGUUUGCUUUCUCGUGCUGUCGGCCUCACACCCACGCGGUGUUUCCUUUCUCCGUUGUGGCCGUUUCGGUAGCCCUCACUGUUCUUUGGCGCUUCUCCUUUGCUUUC
rnacentral:misc_RNA from 1 species